GGGGAAAGGUAGCUUGCUACCUGACCUAGCGGCGGACGGGUGAGUAAUGCUUAGGAAUCUGCCUAUUAGUGGGGGACAACAUUCCGAAAGGAAUGCUAAUACCGCAUACGCCCUACGGGGGAAAGCAGGGGAUCUUCGGACCUUGCGCUAAUAGAUGAGCCUAAGUCAGAUUAGCUAGUUGGUGGGGUAAAGGCCUACCAAGGCGACGAUCUGUAGCGGGUCUGAGAGGAUGAUCCGCCACACUGGGACUGAGACACGGCCCAGACUCCUACGGGAGGCAGCAGUGGGGAAUAUUGGACAAUGGGCGAAAGCCUGAUCCAGCCAUGCCGCGUGUGUGAAGAAGGCCUUUUGGUUGUAAAGCACUUUAAGCGAGGAGGAGGCUACUGAGAUUAAUACUCUUGGAUAGUGGACGUUACUCGCAGAAUAAGCACCGGCUAACUCUGUGCCAGCAGCCGCGGUAAUACAGAGGGUGCGAGCGUUAAUCGGAUUUACUGGGCGUAAAGCGUGCGUAGGCGGCUUUUUAAGUCGGAUGUGAAAUCCCUGAGCUUAACUUAGGAAUUGCAUUCGAUACUGGGAAGCUAGAGUAUGGGAGAGGAUGGUAGAAUUCCAGGUGUAGCGGUGAAAUGCGUAGAGAUCUGGAGGAAUACCGAUGGCGAAGGCAGCCAUCUGGCCUAAUACUGACGCUGAGGUACGAAAGCAUGGGGAGCAAACAGGAUUAGAUACCCUGGUAGUCCAUGCCGUAAACGAUGUCUACUAGCCGUUGGGGCCUUUGAGGCUUUAGUGGCGCAGCUAACGCGAUAAGUAGACCGCCUGGGGAGU
rnacentral:rRNA from 1 species